UUAGAUACUAAUUAGGAGUAUUAAAUAUAGGUUAAUUGCAAAAUCAAUUGCAUAAAUGACUGUUAAUUCGCAAGACGAAUCUAUUAAGCCUAAUUAGUUCAUGAUUUGACCAUGUGAUGCUACAGUAAAUAUGUGCUAAUCAUGGAUUAAUUAGACUUAAUAGAUUCGUGUCGCAAAUUAGCCACGGCUUGUGCAAUUAGUUUUAUAAUUAGUUUACGUUUAGUCCUUCUAAUUAAUAUCAAAC
rnacentral:lncRNA from 1 species